rnacentral:rRNA from 1 species
UACGUAGGGUGCAAGCGUUAAUCGGAAUUACUGGGCGUAAAGCGUGCGCAGGCGGUUUUGUAAGUCUAUCGUGAAAUCCCCGGGCUCAACCUGGGAAUUGCGAUGGAGACUGCAAGGCUAGAAUCUGGCAGAGGGGGGUAGAAUUCCACGUGUAGCAGUGAAAUGCGUAGAGAUGUGGAGGAACACCGGUGGCGAAGGCAGCCCCCUGGGUCAAGAUUGACGCUCAUGCACGAAAGCGUGGGGAGCAAACAGG